GUUUGAUACCCCGAAACUACGUGAGCUACUUCAAGACAGCCUAUUAAUAGGGCUAACCCAUCUCUGUGGCAAAAGCGUGGGAAGAACUUUGAGUAGAGGUGACAAACCUACCGAACCUAGUUAUAGCUGGUUGUCCAAGAAAUGAAUAAAAGUUCAGCCUCUAAGCUUCUCCUUUCACCUGAACUUAACCCCUUUAGAUGUAUUAAAGAAACUAAGAAAGUUAGUCAAAGGAGGUACAGCUCCUUUAAAUCAAGACACAACUUUAACAGGCGGGUAAAGAUCAUAAUAACCAAAGCUAGACAUUCUGGUGGGCCUAAAAGCAGCCAUCCCUUAGAAAGCGUUAAAGCUCAAACAUAUUACUUAUACCUUCUUAUCCUGAUCAAUAAAUCUCACCCCCCUAACCAUACUGGACCCUCCCAUGCCCCCAUGGGUGUGAUUAUGCUAAUAUGAGUAAUAAGAGAGCCCGCCUCUCUCCCUGCACACGUGUACCUCGGAACAGACAACCCACCGACCAUUAACGACCCCAAACAAAGAGGGCAAUAAAUCAUAAACUAAAAUCAAGUAAAACAUUUAAAAAUUAACCGUUAACCCCACACAGGUGUACCCCAAGGAAAGACCUAAAGAAAGAGAAGGAACUCGGCAAACACAUAAAGUCUCGCCUGUUUACCAAAAACAUCGCCUCUUGUACCCCCC
rnacentral:rRNA from 1 species